rnacentral:rRNA from 1 species
CAGUAGCCGCGGUAAUACGUAGGGUGCGAGCGUUAAUCGGAAUUACUGGGCGUAAAGCGUGCGCAGGCGGUUAUGUAAGACAGUUGUGAAAUCCCCGGGCUCAACCUGGGAACUGCAUCUGUGACUGCAUAGCUAGAGUACGGUAGAGGGGGAUGGAAUUCCGCGUGUAGCAGUGAAAUGCGUAGAUAUGCGGAGGAACACCGAUGGCGAAGGCAAUCCCCUGGACCUGUACUGACGCUCAUGCACGAAAGCGUGGGGAGCAAACAGGAUUAGAUACCCGAGUAGUCCCUGUCUCUUAUAA